rnacentral:rRNA from 1 species
AUUAAGCAUAUCAAUAAGCGGAGGAAAAGAAACCAACCGGGAUUGCCUUAGUAACGGCGAGUGAAGCGGCAAAAGCUCAAAUUUGAAAUCUGGUACCUUCGGUGCCCGAGUUGUAAUUUGGAGAGGGCAACUUUGGGGCCGUUCCUUGUCUAUGUUCCUUGGAACAGGACGUCAUAGAGGGUGAGAAUCCCGUGUGGCGAGGAGUGCGGUUCUUUGUAAAGUGCCUUCGAAGAGUCGAGUUGUUUGGGAAUGCAGCUCUAAGUGGGUGGUAAAUUCCAUCUAAAGCUAAAUAUUGGCGAGAGACCGAUAGCGAACAAGUACAGUGAUGGAAAGAUGAAAAGAACUUUGAAAAGAGAGUGAAAAAGUACGUGAAAUUGUUGAAAGGGAAGGGCAUUUGAUCAGACAUGGUGUUUUGUGCCCUCUGCUCCUUGUGGGUAGGGGAAUCUCGCAUUUCACUGGGCCAGCAUCAGUUUUGGUGGCAGGAUAAAUCCAUAGGAAUGUAGCUUGCCUCGGUAAGUAUUAUAGCCUGUGGGAAUACUGCCAGCUGGGACUGAGGACUGCGACGUAAGUCAAGGAUGCUGGCAUAAUGGUUAUAUGCCGCCCGUCUUG